AUUGAACGCUGGCGGAAUGCUUUACACAUGCAAGUCGAACGGCAGCACGGGGGCAGCCCUGGUGGCGAGUGGCGAACGGGUGAGUAAUACAUCGGAACGUGCCCGGUCGUGGGGGAUAACGUAGCGAAAGUUACGCUAAUACCGCAUACGAUCUGAGGAUGAAAGCGGGGGACCUUCGGGCCUCGCGCGAUCGGAGCGGCCGAUGGCAGAUUAGGUAGUUGGUGGGGUAAAGGCCUACCAAGCCGGCGAUCUGUAGCUGGUCUGAGAGGACGACCAGCCACACUGGGACUGAGACACGGCCCAGACUCCUACGGGAGGCAGCAGUGGGGAAUUUUGGACAAUGGGCGCAAGCCUGAUCCAGCCAUUCCGCGUGCAGGACGAAGGCCUUCGGGUUGUAAACUGCUUUUGUACGGAACGAAAAGGCUCUGGCUAAUACCUGGGGCUCAUGACGGUACCGUAAGAAUAAGCACCGGCUAACUACGUG
rnacentral:rRNA from 1 species